rnacentral:rRNA from 1 species
UACGUAGGGUGCGAGCGUUAAUCGGAAUUACUGGGCGUAAAGCGUGCGCAGGCGGUUAUGUAAGACAGGUGUGAAAUCCCCGGGCUUAACCUGGGAACUGCAUUUGUGACUGCAUAGCUAGAGUACGGUAGAGGGGGAUGGAAUUCCGGCGUGUAGCAGUGAAAUGCGUAGAUAUGACGGAGGAACACCGAUGGCGAAGGCAAUCCCCUGGACCUGUACUGACGCUCAUGCACGAAAGCGUGGGGAGCAAACAGG